rnacentral:misc_RNA from 1 species
AACGCAUAUUGCGCUCUCUGGUAUUCCGGAGAGCAUGCCUGUUUGAGGGUAAUUAAAUAAAAAUCUUUGACCUUUUGUGGGUCAAGGGAUAUGGGCAUUCCGCGUCUUUAGCGGUAGCCUGAAAUGUAUGAUUUAGUCUUAUCAAAUUGAGACGCGUAAUAAUGAUUAUUUCGCGAAAACGCUUGAUGAGCUACCAAGUUUUGACGUAUUCAACUCUGUUGGGUGUAGUCGAAACAAAUAUUUUUUGACAUUACCUCAAAUCAGGUAGGAAUACCCGCUGAACUUAA